UACAGAGGGUGCGAGCGUUGUCCGGAAUCACUGGGCGUAAAGGGCGCGUAGGCGGCUGGGGAAGUCCGUGGUGAAAGCUCGUGGCUCAACUGCGAGUCGGCCAUGGAUACUCCUCGGCUUGAGCACUGUAGAGGCAGGUGGAAUUCCGGGUGUAGCGGUGGAAUGCGUAGAGAUCCGGAAGAACACCGGUGGCGAAGGCGGCCUGCUGGGCAGUAGCUGACGCUGAGGCGCGACAGCGUGGGGAGCAAACAGG
rnacentral:rRNA from 1 species